rnacentral:rRNA from 1 species
UACGAAGGGGGCUAGCGUUGUUCGGAAUUACUGGGCGUAAAGGGCGCGUAGGCGGCGCUCCAAGUUAGGCGUGAAAGUCCUGGGCUCAACCUGGGAACUGCGCUUAAGACUGGAGUGCUUGAGGAUGGAAGAGGGUCGUGGAAUUCCCAGUGUAGAGGUGAAAUUCGUAGAUAUUGGGAAGAACACCGGUGGCGAAGGCGGCGACCUGGUCCAUUACUGACGCUGAGGCGCGACAGCGUGGGGAGCAAACAGG